AUUGAACGCUGGCGGCAGGCCUAACACAUGCAAGUCGAGCGGAUGAAGGGAGCUUGCUCCUGGAUUCAGCGGCGGACGGGUGAGUAAUGCAUAGGAAUCUGCCUGGUAGUGGGGGAUAACGUCCGGACACGGGCGCUAAUACCGCAUCCGUCCUGAGGUUGAACGUGGUGGAUCUUCGGACCUAACCCUAUCAGAUGAGCCUAGGUCGGAUUAGCUAGUUGGUGUGGUAAAGGCCUACCAAGGCGACGAUCCGUAACUGGUCUGAGAGGAUGAUCAGCCACACUGGAACUGAGACACGGUCCAGACUCCUACGGGAGGCAGCAGUGGGGAAUAUUGGACAAUGGGCGAAAGCCUGAUCCAGCAACGCCGCGUGUGUGAAGAAGGUCUUCGGAUUGUAAAGCACUGUAAGUUGGGAGGAAGGGCAGUAAGUUAAUACCUGGCUGUUUUGACGUUACCAACAGAAUAAGCACCGGCUAACUUCGUG
rnacentral:rRNA from 1 species